GAAUGCUGACAUAAGUAACGAUAAAGCGGGUGAAAAGCCCGCUCGCCGGAAGACCAAGGGUUCCUGUCCAACGUUAAUCGGGGCAGGGUGAGUCGACCCCUAAGGCGAGGCCGAAAGGCGUAGUCGAUGGGAAACGGGUUAAUAUUCCCGUACUUGGUGUUACUGCGAAGGGGGGACGGAGAAGGCUAUGUUGGCCGGGCGACGGUUGUCCCGGUUUAAGCGUGUAGGUGUGUGUUCCAGGUAAAUCCGGUUCACUUUAACACUGAGGCGUGACGACGAGGCACUACGGUGCUGAAGCAACAAAUGCCCUGCUUCCAGGAAAAGCCUCUAAGCAUCAGGUAACAUCAAAUCGUACCCCAAACCGACACAGGUGGUCAGGUAGAGAAUACCAAGGCGCUUGAGAGAAC
rnacentral:rRNA from 2 species